AUGUUUGAUUUUUGCUGGAACCUGCUUGCAUUUUUGCUGCAGCAGGGAGAUGAUAGUGCUCGGCGGCAAUGGCAUGGCCGCCAUGAUUUGUUUUUGCUGGAACCAGCAAUCUUUUUUUGCUGGAACCAACCUUUGCUUUUGCUACAUCGGAGAAGACUAUGUGAUGUGAAUCAGCUGCAUCCAGUGAUUUUUUUUGCUACAUCUGUCAUCAAUUUUUGUUGGAACCAGCACGAGCGUCGGCCACAACCGUCGCACGACGGAGCUACAACCAAGGGGGAAAUUCUACAACCGGUGCUUCAAUUUGCUACUGUCGGCAUCUUUUUUUGCUGGAACCAGUUGAAAGUAGGCGCGGAGGUGCUGCAUCCAGCGAUGUAA
rnacentral:rRNA from 1 species